UACAGAGGUGGCAAGCGUUGCUCGGAAUUACUGGGCAUAAAGGGCGUCUAGGCGGAUCGGAAAGUCGGCUGUGAAAGCCCCCGGCUCAACCGGGGAAGUGCAUCCGAAACUAUCGAUCUUGAGGACAAGAGGGGUGAGUGGAACUCCUGGUGGAGCGGUGAAAUGCGUAGAUAUCAGGAGGAACGCCGGCGGCGAAAGCGACUCACUGGCUUGGUCCUGACGCUGAAGCGCGAAAGCUAGGGGAGCGAACGGG
rnacentral:misc_RNA from 1 species